rnacentral:rRNA from 1 species
AGUGAACGCUGGCGGCAGGCCUAACACAUGCAAGUCGAACGGCAGCACAGGAGAGCUUGCUCUCUGGGUGGCGAGUGGCGGACGGGUGAGGAAUACAUCGGAAUCUGCCCUGUCGUGGGGGAUAACGUAGGGAAACUUACGCUAAUACCGCAUACGACCUUCGGGUGAAAGAGGGGGAUCGCAAGACCUCUCGCGAUUGGAUGAGCCGAUGUCGGAUUAGCUAGUUGGCGGGGUAAAGGCCCACCAAGGCGACGAUCCGUAGCUGGUCCGAGAGGAUGAUCAGCCACACUGGAACUGAGACACGGUCCAGACUCCUACGGGAGGCAGCAGUGGGGAAUAUUGGACAAUGGGCGCAAGCCUGAUCCAGCCAUGCCGCGUGAGUGAAGAAGGCCUUCGGGUUGUAAAGCUCUUUUGUCCGGAAAGAAAAGCAUUCGGUUAAUAACCGGAUGUCAUGACGGUACCGGAAGAAUAAGCACCGGCUAACUUCGUG